rnacentral:rRNA from 1 species
GACGAACGCUGGCGGCGUGCUUAACACAUGCAAGUCGAGCGGUAAGGCCCUUUCGGGGGUACACGAGCGGCGAACGGGUGAGUAACACGUGGGUGACCUGCCCUUAGCUCUGGGAUAAGCCUGGGAAACUGGGUCUAAUACCGGGUAUGACUCCAUAACGCAUGUUGUGGGGUGGAAAGCCUUGUGCGGCUAGGGAUGGGCCCGCGGCCUAU